rnacentral:rRNA from 1 species
GUUAAUGUAAUAAACCCCUGUUGAAACACACUUCCCGUAAGGAUCAGGCGAAGUUAAGCAACAUCGGGCAUGACUAGUACUAAGGUGGGUGACGACUUAGGUUAUCUAUGUUUCGUUGGCA